rnacentral:rRNA from 1 species
UACGGAGGAUGCAAGCGUUAUCCGGAAUGAUUGGGCGUAAAGCGUCCGCAGGUGGCAAUGUAAGUCUGCUGUCAAAGCGUCUGGCUCAACCAGAUAAAGGCAGUGGAAACUACAUAGCUAGAGUAAGGUAGGGGUAGAGGGAAUUCCCGGUGUAGCGGUGAAAUGCGUAGAGAUCGGGAAGAACAUCGGUGGCGAAAGCGCUCUGCUGGACUGCAACUGACACUCAGGGACGAAAGCUAGGGGAGCGAAUGGG